CCUGUUGCGAUAAUGGAGAAAGUGGAAUACUCCGUUCCUCUUACUGAUACUGUAACAUCACCAUCUCCUUCACUCAAUUCAUUGGAUUCUUUUAGUUCUUAUCUUGUGAGCAAACCGAAAUCCAGUUCAACAUCCCCAUUGCUAUCACCUUCAACCUCCGAUUAUUCAAGUUCAUUUACCUUUUCACCCUCAUCGUCUAACUGGUCAGACUUGCCAUAUUUAUCGGCUCAGCCUUCACCUUCUGGUCUUGAGUCUAAAGAUCCUGUUAAGAGCGGUACCUCAGAGGAAAGUGCGCUUUUACCUCUUCAUGUUUCUUCCCCUCCGCCAGAAGCAGCAUUUUCCGGUAGUCGUGCUUUCAGAACGGCAAAUUUGUCAUUUAGAAGGUCACCCUCCCUUGCAGAGCGCAGAGGAAGCAGUCCUCCUCCUUGGAUGAUGUUACCUCAAGUGGACGAGGCAUCUAAUGCUUCAACCAAUUCGACAAAUUUGUCUUCUCAUGCAGAAGAUGAAAUUAUACAGGAUGUUGAAUACAACUUAGAACAUGAUGGAUCUUCGGAGACAAAUAGAGAAGAGCCAAUGUAUGAUGCUUGCAGCUAUACUGCUGACAAUAAUCCAUUUGAGUUUUGACGACUACAGUGCUGAUGUUUUAUACGUCCGUUUAGGGCACGAUGUGCAGUGGAAGCGAACAAUCCAUCAGUUGAUUGGUAAUGAUAGCACAUGUGAAGACAGUCGUACCUAUUCUGAGACGGUUGGUCAUGUUUUUCUCAUGGAGAAGAGCUUAAGUGCUAUCACUUUCAUUCAGGUACUUGUUGCACCCCUAUAGAUAAAAGGCACCGACUCGUAAAUGCUUUCUUGUCAUGUCAAUGCCUAUAUACUUGUACUCAGAUCUAAUCUCCUCUGUUGACAGGAGCUAUAACGUGUCACUCAUACCCAGUGAACAUUUUAACUCCUGUCCACAAUGAGCAGGAGAUCAACCCUAUACUUCAAUUAUUACUUACUCCAUGCUAUUCCUUUUUCUCGUGCAUUCUUGAACUAUGUCAAUGUGUGUCGUGUUAUAAGAUAGAAGAAACUCUUCCUAAAGCUUUUAUAAUAUUAUGUUGGCCUUUGUUCAAACAAAGAAGUUCUCGUGCCCCCCAAUCUUAGCUUCGAGUCUCUUAAUAAUUUGUAUAGAUGUAUAGACGUCGUGCUGCCAUGUACGUGUUCACCCAGUUGUAUGCUUCUGUCUAUAUAUAUAUAUAUAUAUGAUGGUUUUGAUAUAAAUUCUUCCAAAUGUGGAAUUGCAGAUAGUUAAUGAAGAAUCAUUGCAGUUCCUCGAGCAUUUUGCCUUUGGAAGGAAUUGCAGACAUAGUUAAAGAAAGCGAGGAACCGGUUCAGUUCCUCCCCCACCUUUUUCUCGUUUAAUAUAGACUUGACAAUACUGUGUAGUAGACAUGCUGGUACUAGACAUGCGCUAAGGACAUUAUAGGGAAUAAGUUAUAGGAAUUAUGAGAACAAAAGAUUCUGCUUAUUCUUGGUUCAUUAAAUGUUAUGUACAUUCAGAUUCAGCACCUAAGUUGUAGUUUUUUAAAGUACAAUUAUAGAGCACUAUUUUACUAGCAUUUUGUCUUAUCAAUUUUACAAGUUAUUUAUUUAAUAAUUCGAUUUGAUUAUCAUAUCAUUCUAGCCUAUCUUAGUAAUCGCAUUCAUGAAUUUGUAUAAAGAAAAAGGAAAUAACAACGGCUACUAACAAUAAGCACAAUUAACAUGUUUAGCCCAUAACAUUAUCGGGAAAGGAAAAUUCUUUGAUAGAUUGAAAUUACAUGACAGAAGAUCUACAAGAAAAUAAAGAAAAUCGAACCUGGAAGUUGAACAUGUGAAAAAGCUUAAACUUGUCGCUUUUUCUCAAAUCUGUUUUUUCGAUCUUAAAAUAGCCAUUGUUGGGCCAAGUACACUGCCUCUCAGAGCUUUAUAUGACCACGAUUUCUUCCCUGAUCCCUGAGAUAGUUGCAGCCAUCUAUUUUUUACAAAAAUAUUAUUCCACCCAUUUCAUUUCCACAAAAUGAGAGUCAAAGAGGGGCUAAAAGUCACAAAUGUGACACACAUGAUGUCUUAAAUUUUUAUUUUUAUUCUUUUUUUUUUUUUGAUCAAUUUUACCAUUAUUAUCUUUAAAAACAAGUUGCGUUUGUUUUGUAAAACCGUAUACACAAAAGUGAAUUUCACUUGUUAGUUUCAUUGCGCGAAGAUUUAUCUUAUCUAGUACUUGUUUGGAGUAACUAAAAAAUUGAAAUUAAAGUCAACAAUUAAUUUUAGUCACUCACUUUUGGAAUUCACAAUUUAUUAACUACAAAAAUAAUCAAUUUUUGUCAAAAUCUAUUAAAAUUUUUAUAAAAGAAUUUGUCGAACAGUCUAUUAGUAAGUUGUAUGAAAAUUUCAAACUAAUUUUGCAUAAACUCAAAAUAAAAUAUAAACAACCAUAUUCCUAAUAUUAUAAUUAAUUCAUAAAUCAAAGUCUCAUUGCAUGCCACUUUAUUCAAACAAGAAACACUCACCAAGCAAAAAUUAAACUAAAUUAAAAUGAAUAAUCAAUUCUUAAAUAAUUAGAAUUCAUACCGUGGAGACGUGUUAAGUUUGACCAGUUCUGUUCCUGGUCAACAAAAAUGGCCAACUUGUCGUUUUCAUUUUCUGUUGGCUUACGUGAGUCUCUACCUCUACAUGUAUAAAUUCAAUAAUAGUCACUUGAGUUCAAGAAAAAUUCCAAAUUGGUUAUUAAAUUAAUCUUGUGACUCAUUUAGUCACAAAAGUUAAAUAAUAUUACAUAUUCAAUCAAUCCGUUAACCUGAUUAAAGUCAUAUCCGACGUAGGAGUCGUUCAAGUGAACUAAUGGCCUUUAAAGCAAGCACUUUCUUUUUAUCUAGCCUUUUAUUUUAGGUUUGUGGUGAUAUUUUACGUUUUAUUUAUGGUUAAAAUCGAGUUAGAGAUAAAAGAGAGAUAUUUGAACUUUUUAACAAAAGGUCUUUUAUUUUAAGAAUUGCAUUUUAUUUUGAAGAUAAGUAAUAUCACGAUGUGGAUACAAUGAUUGCUAGACAAAUUCGAUGUUUAACAGGUUGAUAUCGAAUCCAGCAUACAUGUCUUUAAAGGAGUAAUAAAAUAUCUUUCCUUUAAGAAUUGCAUUUUACUCUUAAGAUAAGUAAUAUCACGAUAUGGAUAAAAUGAUUGCUAGACGAAUUCGAGGUUUAACGGGUCUUUAUCGAAGCUAGUAUACACGCCGUUGAAGGAAUAGUUGAUUGUGUGUAACUUUAACAUAUGUCACAAAAAUACUUUGAUAACCAAUUUCAAAUUUCUCUUGCACUUUAAUGACCACUUAUGAAAUUAACUCUCUCUAUACUUUCCUCUCUAUUGACACACACGCUCUCUCUCAUUGGAGGGACCCUUUGAAUUGGCUGUCUUUCGGAAAUGAUCAUACGUAGUUUCGAUGCAGUAGAAUCUGUAUUCGUUGUAAUAAUCAAAAUCAAGCUGCGAAAACAGAAAUUCUAUUAUAUUAUUUCCUUUUAAGUAUCUCUCUUAAAAUUUUCUAUGUUCUCUGGUUGUUUGUGUUGAAACUUUGUGCCCAGAAACAGAAUACUUUGUUAGGAGUUUUACUUGGUCAUAUUUGGAUUUUUGAUUUCUCCUCUUCUUUAAGAAUCUUUAUGGUCAAGGGUUUUCGGUGGGAAAAAAAGCAGAAUAUUUUGAAUGGUGGUUAUUAUAUAUGUUUGAAGACUAGUCAUGAAAUUGAUUGUUUCUGAGGGUAUUCCUUGAAGAAUCCUCAAGUGGGUAUCUCUGAAAUUUGUAAAAAUUGAUAUUUAUGUGCCUGGAUUUAAUUUUUAGUUUUUAUGCUUAUAUGGGUGGGUUUCUUGGAAAUAUCGGUUUUGAUGUUUAGAAUAGUCCUCAAAUGCGUAUGAUUGAUUUUAAACAGAGGAAGUUUUAACUGUUGUGAUGUUAGGGGAAGAGAAUAAAGAUGGACCUGGCGGAGGAAGUUGGAAAACGUACUUACGGUCGGUUUCGUGGAGUGACCGAUCACCUGGAAAGACAAAUCCUAGGCCACGAUGGAACAGCAAGGCUCGGGCUUGUUUGCCUCCCCUUCAGCCUCUUUCGGUUACUAGGCCUAGCGGGGAGGAAUGGCCGAGGGCUGGCUCGGAUGAUAUUGGCAUAUGGGCGAAUCCCCCUACUACUCCUGGUGCACGGCUUGGAUCAACGACUCACCGCGGAAAUUCAAAUUCAGAAAACCCUCCUAGAGAAUUUGAAUUCAAGAAAGAUAAGCUCGCGUUCUUUGAUAAGGAAUGCUCGAGAAUUUUGGAUCAUGUAUAUUUAGGAAGUGACGCUGUUGCAAAGAAUCGUGAAAUUUUACGGAAGAAUGGAAUAACCCAUGUGUUGAACUGUGUCGGGUUUGUUUGCCCGGAAUAUUUCAAGAAUGAGCUCGUGUACAAGACACUUUGGCUGCAGGACAGCCCGUCUGAGGAUAUCACGAGCAUUUUCUAUGAUGUUUUUGAUUAUUUUGAAGAUGUUAGAGAACAAGGUGGGCGAGUCCUUGUUCACUGUUGCCAAGGGGUAUCUCGAUCAACCUCGUUGGUUAUUGCUUAUCUUAUGUGGAAAGAGGGACAAAGCUUCGAGGACGCGUUCCAGCUUGUUAAAGCAGCAAGAGGAGUGACUAACCCGAAUUUGGGAUUUGCCUGUCAACUUCUGCAGUGCCAGAAGCGGGUACACGCCCUGCCGGCAAGCCCAUCUUCUGUGCUUCGUAUGUAUCGAAUGGCACCUCACUCUCCGUAUGAUCCACUUCAUCUGGUUCCCAAACUGUUGAGCGAGCCGGGCUCAGAAAAACUCGAUUCUCGUGGAGCUUUCAUUGUUCACGUACCUUCAGCGAUAUUCGUCUGGAUGGGGAAGCAUUGCUUCAAAGUAAUAUCAGACAAAGCCAGAUCAGCUGCCUCUCAAGUCAUCCAUUACGAAAGAGCCAAAGGUCCGGUUAUAACCGUCAAUGAAGGUGAAGAAACAUCUGAAUUCUGGGUUGCUCUUGGCUUGCAGAAUCGUUUAGCAGAUGUUUGUGGUAUAGAGAUAACAGAGGAGGACAGGAUUGGCCAUUCGAUCCGUCCGGGGCAAAGGAAAGUUGAUGAGUAUGAUCAAGAUUUCAGAAUUUUUUUCAAAGCACUAUCCGGUGGGAUCAUUCCACCUUUUCCAUUAUCAGGAAGUGGUUCCGAGACAAGUAUACCUGCUAGAGAAAAUGGUUGGAGCAGAUUGAGAAGAAAGUUGACCAGUGGAAUUAUGGAAGAAUAUAUCACGUCUUCGAAAUUGAACUGUAAUUUGACUCAAGCAAGUGAUAAACGGGAUGUGAUAGAUACACGUAAAGUUCCAUUGCCUUCGAGUCCUCAGUGCGAUUCACCUGAUUCGCUUGCUACAUACGAAACUGGCAGCCCUGUUGCGAUAAUGGAGAAAGUGGAAUACUCCGUUCCUCUUACUGAUACUGUAACAUCACCAUCUCCUUCACUCAAUUCAUUGGAUUCUUUUAGUUCUUAUCUUGUGAGCAAACCGAAAUCCAGUUCAACAUCCCCAUUGCUAUCACCUUCAACCUCCGAUUAUUCAAGUUCAUUUACCUUUUCACCCUCAUCGUCUAACUGGUCAGACUUGCCAUAUUUAUCGGCUCAGCCUUCACCUUCUGGUCUUGAGUCUAAAGAUCCUGUUAAGAGCGGUACCUCAGAGGAAAGUGCGCUUUUACCUCUUCAUGUUUCUUCCCCUCCGCCAGAAGCAGCAUUUUCCGGUAGUCGUGCUUUCAGAACGGCAAAUUUGUCAUUUAGAAGGUCACCCUCCCUUGCAGA
rnacentral:lncRNA from 1 species